UACGAAGGGGGCUAGCGUUGCUCGGAAUCACUGGGCGUAAAGGGUGCGUAGGCGGGUCGUUAAGUCAGGGGUGAAAUCCUGGAGCUCAACUCCAGAACUGCCUUUGAUACUGAAGAUCUUGAGUCCGGGAGAGGUGAGUGGAACUGCGAGUGUAGAGGUGAAAUUCGUAGAUAUUCGCAAGAACACCAGUGGCGAAGGCGGCUCACUGGCCCGGUACUGACGCUGAGGCACGAAAGCGUGGGGAGCAAACAGG
rnacentral:rRNA from 1 species